UACGGAAGGUGCAAGCGUUGUUCGGAUUGACUGGGCGUAAAGAGCACGUAGGCGGGUUUGUAAGUCGAAUGUGAAAGCCCAGGGCUUAACCCUGGAAUUGCAUUCGAAACUGCAAGUCUUGAAUACUUGAGAGGUUGGCGGAAUUCCUGGUGUAGGAGUGAAAUCCGUAGAUAUCAGGAGGAAUAUCAGAGGCGAAGGCGGCCAACUGGCAGUGUAUUGACGCUGAGGUGCGAAAGCGUGGGGAGCAAACAGG
rnacentral:misc_RNA from 1 species